ensembl:lncRNA
AGGAAUUGUGCUAUAUAAAUAAACUUGCCUUGCCUUCACACAGUCCCUACACUGACCAAAGCACUGUUACAGUUGGGAGCCUCAUAUCAACAGUUGCACAUAAUGAAACCUUUAGUGAACCAUCUUCUAAUAACUUUUUUGGGACUUUCAGUCAUUUAGAGGAGACCUAGCAACAUCCCUGAUCAUCCACUCCCCCAAAACAGUUUGUUGAUAUUUGAGCUCAACAGUGUUGACGGGCCAAGCCACUAUGUUUCCCAUUUACAGAGCCAGGACUGUUUUUAACACCAGAGGUUUUUUUCUGAGCACACACACUGAUCUGAUCCCAGACCUGUGUGUGUGUGUGUACCCCAGAGUAAGUCAGGGGUCUAGGCGGGGGAGUUUGUGUCUGCCGCUGCUAAAGAGGGCUCCUGAUUCACCGCCUGUUUGUUUCUCCUGGCACCAGGCAGAGCUGGAGCUGGAGUGCGUCCGUUCGGCUUCUAGCCUCCCGCUUACACAUCCUGCCCUGUGUCAACCACCCCCCCUCCACUGAACUGUUUGUCAAGGACCACGUGUUUAUUUUUAUUUAUUUUUACAUUUAUUUUUCACUUUUUGUCGGUGUUUUGAGGUUGGCAGAGGCUGUUAAUGUUGUCUUGGUAGAGAUGGAGGGAGAGUAUUGUAGCAAUCACGCUGUAGAGUCGCUGAACUGCCCCAGAGGCUCUCGUAGCUGAACUGCCCCAGAGGCUCUCGUAGCUGGCCCUUUUGGCUCUGGUCCAGCCCUUCGCAAGUCUGCUGCCACAGCUCCUCGGUGGCCUGCCUGGUCUCCGCUGUCGGUGGCCCUCUCUGUGUGUGUUGGUCUCUGGAAGCUGCUGGCUGUUGGGGGGGGGGGGGGGGGGGGGGUUGUGUGUGUGUGUGUGUGUGUGUGAAGAUACUUCCUCUGUGUGGAUGCUCUGGACGGACAGCUUGCCCUGGGCAGCUCUCUUUCGUGUACAGCGGCGGCGCUGUCUCUGCGGACGGGUGCAGGCUCUUCAGGGGUGGGCGUGGCUUCAGCUUGGAAACAAUGGCGACACCUCUAGUCUAGGGCCCAUCCUCUCCCGCGGUAUGAAGAGCUACGACUUCAGUUCAAAGGCUGCGCUGUGUCGGUCCUCUGCUGAACACCACCUGGCCAGCAAGUCCAGUCCAAUGAUGCAGUUGUCCUGAAUGCUGGAGAGCAAGAAUGGGUGUUGUUACGGCAACGAGCACUUGUAAGG